UACGUAGGCAGCGAGCGUUGUUCGGAGUUACUGGGCGUAAAGGGUGCGUAGGCGGUUGUUUAAGUUUGGUGUGAAAUCUCCCGGCUCAACUGGGAGGGUGCGCCGAAUACUGAAUGACUAGAGUGCGGGAGAGGAGAGUGGAAUUCCUGGUGUAGCGGUGAAAUGCGCAGAUAUCAGGAAGAACACCCGUGGCUAAGGCGGCUCUCUAGUACGGUACUGACGCUGAGACGCGAAAGCGUGGGGAGCGAACAGG
rnacentral:rRNA from 1 species